ACGACAGCACCAUUUUAAAAGGUGAAGAACGGCCAUUUUCGAAAGAAAGGAGAUCGAAGACAAUCUUUGAUCCAAUUCCUAAUUUCUAAGUGAAAACGGAAAUAAGGAGAUUGAAUAGAGAUGAAUGAGUAAAAAAAUAAACAGAGAAAGAGACGAAAAUACAAAAAUGGCUGCCACUUGAAAUCUAACGAAAAGCUUCAGCACUUUUCUCGAUUUCUCAUUCUCUUAACCCUCGAAUUCACACUCAUAUUCUCUCACAGUUCCAGCGCAUUCCCAGUUACAACUGCAGCGUUCCAAUCCACAAAUUUGCGUCCAGAAUUGAAAACAAUGUGAAAUUGGGUCGGGUCCAGAUUCGACCGAGGGCUGGGUUCUUCGAGGUCUCCUUUGAAUCUUGUUUGUUUUGAGAUUUUCCUGCUGUAAAACUCAAAAAUUCAGAUUUGAUACAAAGAUUUUGGAGCGGAGCUGUUGGUGACGUCAGGUGCUGAUUCGGAAGAUGUUCGUGUGUUUGGAUAUAACUGCCACUUGUCCUUGAUAGCUUUAGAUUAUUGCUAAUCUGUUUAUGUAACCUUCAAACAGAACGUGUAUUUAUUUUUAUUUAUCAGUUUUGAAAUUUCAAAUC